rnacentral:rRNA from 1 species
UACGUAGGGUGCGAGCGUUGUCCGGAAUUAUUGGGCGUAAAGAGCUUGUAGGCGGUCUGUCGCGUCUGCUGUGAAAAUCCGGGGCUCAACCCCGGACUUGCAGUGGGUACGGGCAGACUAGAGUGUGGUAGGGGAGACUGGAAUUCCUGGUGUAGCGGUGAAAUGCGCAGAUAUCAGGAGGAACACCGGUGGCGAAGGCGCCACUCUGGGCCGAAACUGACGCUGAGGAGCGAAAGCGUGGGGAGCGAACAGG